rnacentral:rRNA from 1 species
CGGAAGGCCCUUCGGGGUACUCGAGUGGCGAACGGGUGAGUAACACGUGGGUGAUCUGCCCUGCACUUUGGGAUAAGCCUGGGAAACUGGGUCUAAUACCGAAUAUGACCAUGCGCCUCCUGGUGUGUGGUGGAAAGCUUUUGCGGUGUGGGAUGGGCCCGCGGCCUAUCAGCUUGUUGGUGGGGUAAUGGCCUACCAAGGCGACGACGGGUAGCCGGCCUGAGAGGGUGACCGGCCACACUGGGACUGAGAUACGGCCCAGACUCCUACGGGAGGCAGCAGUGGGGAAUAUUGCACAAUGGGCGCAAGCCUGAUGCAGCGACGCCGCGUGAGGGAUGACGGCCUUCGGGUUGUAAACCUCUUUCAGCACAGACGAAGCGCAAGUGACGGUAUGUGCAGAAGAAGGACCGGCCAACUACGUGCCAGCAGCCGCGGUAAUACGUAGGGUCCGAGCGUUGUCCGGAAUUACUGGGCGUAAAGAGCUCGUAGGUGGUUUGUCGCGUUGUUCGUGAAAACUCACAGCUUAACUGUGGGCGUGCGGGCGAUACGGGCAGACUUGAGUACUGCAGGGGAGACUGGAAUUCCUGGUGUAGCGGUGGAAUGCGCAGAUAUCAGGAGGAACACCGGUGGCGAAGGCGGGUCUCUGGGCAGUAACUGACGCUGAGGAGCGAAAGCGUGGGGAGCGAACAGGNNNAGAUACCCUGGUAGUCCACGCCGUANACGGUGGGUACUAGGUGUGGGUUUCCNNNCNUGGGAUCCGUGCCGUAGCUAACGCAUUA